rnacentral:rRNA from 1 species
UACGUAGGUGACCAGCGUUGUCCGGAUUUACUGGGCGUAAAGAGCGCGCAGGCGGUCGUUCAAGUCGAGUGUGAAAGCCCCCGGCUCAACUGGGGAGGGUCAUUCGAUACUGAUCGACUCGAAGGCAGGAGAGGGAAGCGGAAUUCCCGGUGUAGUGGUGAAAUGCGUAGAUAUCGGGAGGAACACCAGUGGCGAAGGCGGCUCCUUGGCCU